CCGCCUUCAAGAUUAUAGAAAAUCAAUUAUUCUAUGGGGAAAAAGAAAGAAAAGUUAUACUGACAGGAGAUGAACAAAAAAAAAUAAUUAAAACAAUACAUGAGGGGGGUGUAUCUACAGUUGCAGGUAUUGCUAUGGGAGGGCAUCUGGGGAUUAAUAAAACU